rnacentral:pre_miRNA from 18 species
CAAUGUUGUUCUGUCUGUUUCCAUAGCUUAUAUUGUAAGGUACUUAUAAGCUCGUGAACAACAGGCAGGACAACUGG